rnacentral:lncRNA from 1 species
CGUUCAUUUCAGCAAUACGCAUCAUGGCAGAUACUUUACAAACAUGCAUCACAUAAACUAGUUCAGCCUUCAACUCCAAUACAAAUCCAAUAAGUGUUAGUAUUGUACAGCCAAUACAUUGCACACAGCUGGAAUCAUUGUGGCUUCAAUGGAGCACAUUAAAGAACACAAAUUAAAUUGUUCACAACGUCGCCCGUCUUCCACUGUUUCACUUCAUCUGAGUAGCCAAUUCUGAAUUGAGGGACAUCCUCACAUUAAAAAGGAUCACAAAUGAGAAGAACAUACAGAUGGAAAGAUUGUCAGGUUAACACACAAUAAAGUGAGGUUAACACAAGUAUUAUUUCCAAAUCAUACAAUGCCAACCUAAAAUAAAAUUCCAGCAUGAAACUAUACUUUUCUAGGUGCACAUCAAGUACUAUUUUGAGUUGACCAGAACAAGUAUUGACCAAGUUGAGAGUCCAAUUCCCAUACGCGAUUCACGUAGUAAGGAAAAGUAACUUUUUACGAACUGAAGGGAAAAAACUUUCCAUUCAUAGCACGCACAGGCUGAGCCCA